rnacentral:pre_miRNA from 1 species
ACAAUACUAUAUUUGUAUGGAAUUGGAUCGUUUGCGUACGUUUGCCGCUAGGGACGCUGUUUCAACUGCAUACAAAAUUGGGUUA